AGAGAGUUUAAAAAGAUGGCUGCGCUCAUUGGAAGAAUGUGGCGAAGUGCAUUUACACAUGUUUUAAGAGACGUUUCAAAUGUUUCACCCCGAAUUCAACCAAGUGGUCAUCCAUGUACAAGAUGGAUUUUUGGUAAGAGUGCCAACUCAUUGCAGACAGGCAGAAGUUUGUCCUCGUCACCUCAUAGUUUAUCUGCUAAUAAACCUACCACAGAUAUAGAUACCACAAUAGAAGGUCCGGAUGAGAUUUUGUCUUUGAAGUCAACAACUUCAAAGAAGAGGAAAAAAAGAAAGAAAGAAAAGCAUCAAGGUACUUCAAAGCAGGAUGUGGAUAGAGAGAGACUGAAGAAAGAGGAGUCGGUUUUGUUGUCAGAGGAGGUAGAACCGAGGAGCCCCAGGGUCUGGGUGAUGGACAGACAUGGAGAAUUUUGUUUGAAAGAUGUCAAGUCACCUAAUAAAUCUGCUCCUGGUGGAGACACGAGGAUGGAAAUGAUGGAGGAUCCCCCAGACGACGGUCAGACCUGGUCAAUCCCGGACAUUUACGAGUCAGAGGAAUUCCGGAGGUGUGUCCAGGCGGCGGAACGGUCCAUCCUCGCUCAUUGUCCACAACGGACCAUCUCCGAGUGUAUCACUGUCUGUGAAAGCAUGGCCCCUGUCUCCAGAGUCCUCAAAAUUCAUAACAAGGUCGAUUAACGAGUUCUGGACAGGGAGUUAAGAGAUGGACUUCUUUUGAUAUAUUUAAUUUAUUUCAAGAUCAAAUGUUUUGUCCAAGAUGUAACUCAAACAUAGAAAACUAGUCAAAUUUAAAAAAAAAAAAAGGAUCAUCUCAGAUUUCUUAUAGAUGUAAUUUUUUUAGUACAAAUUGAAAAAAUACUUUGGAUUGGGGGGGGGGGGGGGGGGGGGGGGGGAAGGGGUGUGAUCUUGUAAUGGGUCUUAGUCUGUUGAUCUGAGCUGAAUACAUCAUGGGGGAGUUAUCAUUUUCUGUUUUUGCAGGCUAUACUAGUCACCUAUGAGAGUGAUAUCUCGGACAUUCUUUCCGGAGGGUUCCGUAGGUGUAAUUCAGACGCUGUUUCUAUAAAACAGACAGAAAAAAGGGUGUUUCUGAUGUGGAUAAACAGGAAAAAGUUCAACUCAACACAACAGCCUGUGUGCAAGAAUAUUUCAGUUCUGAAGCAGAGAAAUUACCAAAGACUUCUGAUGAAUGAAACAAUAGAGGGGCAGAUGGAAAUCCUCGGCAACAGAACGAAGAACCAAUCCGAGAGGCAGCAGGUGUUGUUCUUCCUCAGACAGUGUAUCCAGGACGUAGUGGACUUGACCCGACCCAAUUAUCUGGUGGUGCCAUUUGGAUCCGUGUUAAAUGGGUUCAUCUGUGAUACCAGUGACCUUGACACUGCCCUUGUUUACACCGGAAGCAGACAAAAGCAGGCUAAUGAGACAGCAUUACUAAGUGAAAUAGCUAAAAAGCUGAAAAUGUUAGACAGUUACAACAGCAUUCUUUCAAUAUUCCAUGCCCGUGUUCCAAUCAUAAAAUACCAUAACAGGCUCCUGGAGGUCGGGGGAGACAUUUCCUACCAAUCUAUAAAUUCGUCAGGAAAAACUGCCACUAUAUGUCUGAAUGCAUUGAGCCGUUGUUCUCCGAGUGUGGUACCUUUCAUCAUGACCGUUAAGCUGUGGACCAAGCUGUACGUAGACUGGUUCCCGUCCAAGUUUGUCUUCACAGCCUUAGCCUUGUUCUAUCUACAGCGGUGCCAAAUCAUACCCCCGAUUCAGAAUAUCAAGGUUAUAAAUAAGUCUCCAGUGGAUGGGGAGGAAUGGCAGUGUGUAGAAACAGUAGAAACAAAAUCAUUAGACCAACUUCUGUGUGGAUUUUUUCAGUUUUAUAAAGACUUUGAUUUCAACGUUUAUGAUAUUUGCUUGAAAUCUGGUAAAAUUAUACCCAAGUUAGAUCAUCAAUAUACUAUAAUAAUGAACCCAUUCUGUGGUAAUAAAAACAGUGAGGAAUACAUGGCUGCACGGAUCAGAGACUGGAAUGUUGCGCGGAUACAGGCGGCCAUGGCGGAGUCCGUCCGGAUAUUAGCUGAGUCACCAUCAACCUUACUCCAACCAACUGAACAACACUGGAAUACUCCAACAAAUGAAUCAUUUAAGUUUAAUAAAAGGAAAAGAUGAAAAAUA
rnacentral:misc_RNA from 1 species